rnacentral:rRNA from 1 species
GGAAUAUUGGACAAUGGGCGAAAGCCUGAUCCAGCAAUGCCGCGUGAGUGAUGAAGGCCUUAGGGUUGUAAAGCUCUUUUACCAGGGAUGAUAAUGACAGUACCUGGAGAAUAAGCUCCGGCUAACUACGUGCCAGCAGCCGCGGUAAUACGUAGGGAGCAAGCGUUGUUCGGAUUUACUGGGCGUAAAGGGCGCGUAGGCGGUGCGGUAAGUCACUUGUGAAAUCUCUGAGCUUAACUCAGAACGGCCAAGUGAUACUGCAGUGCUAGAGUGCAGAAGGGGCAAUCGGAAUUCUUGGUGUAGCGGUGAAAUGCGUAGAUAUCAAGAGGAACACCUGAGGUGAAGACGGGUUGCUGGGCUGACACUGACGCUGAGGCGCGAAAGCUAGGGGAGCAAA